UACAGAGGGUGCAAGCGUUAAUCGGAAUUACUGGGCGUAAAGCGCGCGUAGGUGGUUUGUUAAGUUGGAUGUGAAAUCCCCGGGCUCAACCUGGGAACUGCAUUCAAAACUGACAAGCUAGAGUAUGGUAGAGGGUGGUGGAAUUUCCUGUGUAGCGGUGAAAUGCGUAGAUAUCUGGGGGAACAUCAGUGGCGAAAGGCGGCUUCCUGGACCAACACUGACGCUGAGGCGCGAAAGCGU
rnacentral:rRNA from 1 species